rnacentral:rRNA from 1 species
GGAGGAAAAGAAACCAACAGGGAUUGCCCUAGUAACGGCGAGUGAAGCGGCAGCAGCUCAAAUUUGAAAUCUGGCCUCGGCCCGAGUUGUAAUUUGUAGAGGACGCUUUUGGCGCGGCCCCUUCCGAGUUCCCUGGAACGGGACGCCAUAGAGGGUGAGAGCCCCGUACGGUUGGACGCCAAACCUCUGUAAAGCUCCUUCGACGAGUCGAGUAGUUUGGGAAUGCUGCUCAAAAUGGGAGGUAAAUUUCUCCUAAAGCUAAAUACCGGCCGGAGACCGAUAGCGCACAAGUAGAGUGAUCGAAAGAUGAAAAGCACUUUGAAAAGAGGGUUAAACAGCACGUGAAAUUGUUGAAAGGGAAGCGCUCAUGACCAGACUUGCGCCCUGCGAAUCAUCCAGCGUUCUCGCUGGUGCACUUUGCUCGGUUCAGGCCAGCAUCGGUUUCCUCAGGGCGAUAAAAACAGCGGGAACGUGGCUCCUUCCAGGAGUGUUAUAGCCCGCUGUAGAAUAUCCUUCGGGGGGACCGAGGACCGCGCUUCGGCAAGGAUGCUGGCGUAAUGGUCAUCAGCGACCCGUCUUGAAACACGG